rnacentral:misc_RNA from 1 species
GUUUUGUUAGUAGUUGGAGGCACAACAGGGCUGACAUCUGAACUCGCCGUCAAAGGAGAGAGCGAUGGCAAAUUAGUACUUAGAGGAGCUUGAGGAAGAGCAGAAUUUACUGUCUUGUUGGCCACUGAGCUUGAUGAUAUCUCAGAGGUCUGUGGAGCCGAAAGCACAGAUGGGAGUGACGAAGAUACAGUUACUGGUGGCAUUGCUGUGGACAAUAAACUAGGA